CCGACCAUAAACAAAAAUGGACCGAAACAAGCCAUUCGCCCGAGAAUUACCAGCACAAGCUGAAAACUCAAAAGACUUGACGGUGCUCUACCCUACCUAGAGGAGCCUGUCCUAUAAUCGAUACUCCACGAUCUACCUCACCUUUGCUAGCCCAUCAGCCUAUAUACCGCCGUCGAAAGUAUAUCCUGCAAAGGACCAAUAAUUGACUUAACAGUCUUACCACUAAAACGUCAGGCCAAGGCAUAACUAAUGUAAAGGAAGAGAUGGGCUACAUUUUCUAUCCACAGAGCACACGAAAAACAACAUGAAACCUGUUUCUUUAAAGGAGGAUUUAGCAGUAAGGCGGAUAAGAACGCCCGCCUUAACAUAGCACCAGAGCACGU
rnacentral:rRNA from 1 species